rnacentral:rRNA from 1 species
AGAGUUUGAUCCUGGCUCAGCCUGAACGCUGGCGGCGUGGCUAAGACAUGCAAGUCGAACGGGUGUAGCAAUACACCAGUGGCGGACGGGUGAGUAAUGUAUCGCUAACCUACCCCGAAGUCUGGGAUAGCUGCCCGAAAGGGCAGGUAAUACCAGAUGAUAUAUCCUGAUCGCAUGACCGGGAUCUCAAAGCAGCAAUG